GGCGCUGGUGCGGGCGAGUUCGGCGGGUGCAGGUCCCGGCCUGCGCCUGCGGAGGGCUCAGGCAGAGGGUCGAAGCGAGCGGCGCUCGCGACAGACUGCGCUCCGCGAUGGUGGGCGUCCCUGGAGCGGCCGCCUUCCAACGUAAGUGGGGCGGGAAGGCGGACGGCUGAGGGGUGUGUGUUGAGGGGCCUGCUGCUCCAUAGGCGGGAGGCUUUGCAGAGGCCCCCCGGCGGGAGGCCUGGGCAGGGAAACUGAGGCCGGGAUUGGGGCACUGGAUCCAAGGUCAUGCGGCUCCCCGGCCUUCCGGGGCCCUCGGGGCUAUCCCGGCGCUUCCUGUGGGGCUCGCGGCUCCGGGUGCUGAGCAGGACUGUGUGGAGCGGCCUUGGAGCUCAGGCCUGGCGGGCGCCCUAUGGACUGUCCGCGAGAGAAGUAUUGUUUUGUUUUCGCGGCAUCGGGGCUGAAAGUCCGGUCCCGGGAAACACGCCGGAAUUGGAGCGACGAGUGGUAGAUGUUGGAGGAUGCCGGGCUGAUAUUCCGGAGGGCCCUGUUGAAUGUAGGCUCUGGGGUCGGACUGCUUUGGGUUCAUGUCCUGGCUCCCUCGCGAGUAGGCUGUGACCUUGGCGCUCCAAAAGUCUCAGUUGCUCGAUCUGAAAAAUGGGUUGUGAGGAACGUACUCUGAAUGCUCUGUAGUAGGGUUUAGUGAAUCCAGUAAAAUCCCCUGAACACACAGUUGCACAUCAUACUCAAGUGUGAAAACUCACUAUCGUAAUCACAGUUUGUUAUGUGUGUUCCUCGGAAAAGUCCGAAGUUGGCGUCUGGUUGUGUUUUGUUAGUUUGUUUAAUAUUGUCUUUGACUAGUCCUACUAUGUGACUCAGUUGUGUUUUUAUUCUUACCUCCAUUUCGCUAUCCCAUUUACAGACGUUCUUCCUAGAAUUGUAAGAUCCUUGGAGGAGGGAUGGCAUCGUUUAAUAAGAACAAUAAAAAUUUAAUUGUCAUUAAAAUAGCAGUAAUAGCCAACAUUACUUGAGCACCAGGCAAUUUGCAUUCGAUUCAUUUAAUAUUUAUUAAAUCAUCUAAAUACAAAUUAUCACUCUAAGUCCAGAGACUAUGGCAACAAACUUGACAGACUAGAUUCUGAAUUUGAGUUUAAGAGAGGGACUCGUGCUUUGUGGAUAUUUCUUUGUCUAUGCCAGGUGACAGUCUAAAAACAGGUAUUUGAGGCACGUUGGAGGCUGAGUUUGAGGUCAGCCUGAUCUAUACAGGCCAGCCAGGGUUACAUUGUGGCACCCUGCCCCAAACAAAACAAAAUAACAAAAACAACAACAAAACCC
rnacentral:lncRNA from 1 species